UCAGUGGUAGUUCAGUGGUAGAAUUCCUGCCUUCCAUGCAGAAGACCCAGGUUUGAUUCCCUACAGUG
rnacentral:tRNA from 1 species